GAUGAACGCUGGCGGCGUGCCUAAUACAUGCAAGUCGAGCGAACGGACGAGAAGCUUGCUUCUCUGAUGUUAGCGGCGGACGGGUGAGUAACACGUGGAUAACCUACCUAUAAGACUGGGAUAAAUUCGGGAAACCGGAUCUAAUACCGGAUGAUAUUUUGAACCGCAUGGUUCAAAAGUGAAAGACGGUCUUGCUGUCACUUAUAGAUGGAUCCGCGCUGCAUUAGCUAGUUGGUAAGGUAACGGCUUACCAAGGCAACGAUGCAUAGCCGACCUGAGAGGGUGAUCAGCCACACUGGAACUGAGACACGGUCCAGACUCCUACGGGAGGCAGCAGUGGGGAAUCUUCCGCAAUGGGCGAAAGCCUGACGCAGCAACGCCGCGUGAGUGAUGAAGGUCUUCGGAUUGUAAAACUCUGUUAUUAGGGAAGAACAUAUGUGUAAGUAACCGUGCACAUCUUGACGGUACCUAAUCAGAAAGCCACGGCUAACUACGUG
rnacentral:rRNA from 1 species